rnacentral:rRNA from 1 species
UACGGGGGGAGCAAGCGUUGUUCGGAUUUACUGGGCGUAAAGGGCGCGUAGGCGGCCACCGCAAGUCGACUGUGAAAUCUCCGGGCUUAACCCGGAAAGGUCAGCCGAUACUGCGGGGCUAGAGUGCAGAAGGGGCAACUGGAAUCCUCGGUGUAGCGGUGAAAUGCGUAGAUAUCGAGAGGAACACCUGCGGCGAAGGCGGCGACCUGGGCAGAUACUGACGCUGAGGUGCGAAAGCGUGGGGAGCAAACAGG